ACAGUUUCGUCGAGGUUACCUCCUCCCAACCUCGGCGGAUAUGACCGGCACCUCCUCCUCCCAAAAUGCCGGUCACCCCAUAACGACACCCGCCGAACCUCCUCCCUCGGCGGGUGUUGUUU
rnacentral:sRNA from 1 species